AGUUAGACGAAGCCACUGAGGGGAAAAGAUUGGGCUUCUCUCUCAACACAAGGGCCAUCCACGCUUUCCCAGAAACUAGAAGCCAAAGGAAGGCUGGGCUACCACAGAGUGGCCAUAAAUUCCUGCUUCUGGACCUGCCCCACACGGUAGGCCCUGAUUCCCCACAACCCAAAUGCGAUGAGAAGAAGCCAACCCCUCAGGCUCCAACAGCUCUCGGCAUGGUAUUUAAUAAUUCAUCGCCUCAGUCCAGCGCACACAAACGGCCGUCACCUGUUCCCUCGCCUCUGUCUCCAAGGUGCUCCAGCCCACAGCAGCACCAUAGGAUCCUCCUGCUCCCUCCGCUGCCUAGGGAGGGGGAAGCUGUCUUUAAUGAUUACCCUAGUAGAAAGAACGGUGUCUCCUUUGGG
rnacentral:lncRNA from 1 species